AUAGUAAGAUGUAAAGGAAGAAAGAAUGGAUAAGCAAAGCGCUCCCCAAAGUGUAAUAGUGAACACCGCAUCAAGAAAAUAUAAACUCCGUAUGUGCUGACCCCUGCGAUUUCCCCAAAUGUGGGAAACUCGACUGCAUAAUUUGUGGUAGUGGGGGACUGCGUUCGCGCUUUCCCCUG
rnacentral:snRNA from 1 species